UUCCAGUUUCUUUUAUUCUUCUAACAGUUUUCUGAUUUUGUGUUUUAACACAGUAGCGGAUAACAAAUAUAACUUAGAGUUAUGUGUACAGGUCAACGGGUGAGGGGUUCCAAAGGGAGUUCUGGGAUGAACUUUCAUGUUUGUUUUGGGACUGAAGAGUUCUUAGAUGUCAAGAGGAGAUUUUAAUACGAUGAGUUAUUUUGAAGAAGGGAUGGAAUUUGACUCUCUAGAGCAAUGAAGUGUUCAGAGUUUUUUGAUAGCCUUUAGCUAGUUGAUGACAGGUGCUCGUUUCACAUGGACCAUGAUGAAAGGAGUCAACGUCCAAAUUCAGACUUGACAGAUUUCACAUUUCAACCACAUGGAGAGGUAGCGCCAGAUAUCAUCCAAAUCCCCUGUCAUAUUUCCAUCAGAUCAUGUUCUUAUUCUCUUGGCUUCGGCAGGAUCAGAAAAGCUCAGGAAUCGUUUACGUCAACAUUUGAAAACAUGUGGCUAAAGGCGAACAAUGAAGAGCUCGUUGGACAAUGGUGGGGGAAUCAUCAUUAUAAAUUAUUUACAUCAGCUUCUUACUGCUGUAGUUCCAAGUUCCAACUACAUGACGUUCGGUCAUUUCACGGAUGAGCAAGCUAAGGCUGCUGCACAUAAAUAUUACGCGUACAUGUAAAGCUUACUGUUCAUAGUAGUCCUUACAUGUCUUUAAUACUCAAUGGCCUGGAUAGCUGCUGCUGCAUUCAGAUAAAAGGAACAUGGAUUUAUGAUGCAAAUGAGAAAAUAUACCAUAAGAUUCAUCAACAUGAAGUUAAGUUUGAUCUUGACAUUGUCUAUUCAUGCGAUGGCAUGACCCAUGUUAUUUGUUCCUGACAUAUAACAUUUUGUAUCCAAUGAAGAUGGUGAAGGGUUGUGUCAGGAUGAUCUCACGCGUACUUCAACUAUUCGUUAGGUAUUUGCUACAUUUCAUCAGCAUAUGUACCGGAUAACUCUAUCCAUCAAGGCUCAAGCGAGUGGGAAGAAUUCACCUAGCGUUUUUUUCCUCUGUUGAAUUUGAACCUUGGUCUUUCAUGGUUUAUACCCAAUUUAUUGUCCAUUCUUUGGGUUAUUCAUUCUGUACU